UACGAAGGGUGCAAGCGUUACUCGGAAUUACUGGGCGUGAAGCGUGCGUAGGUGGUUUGUUAAGUCUGUUGUGAAAGCCCCGGGCUCAACCUGGGAAUGGCAAUGGAUACUGGCAGGCUAGAGUGCGGUAGAGGGUAGUGGAAUUCCCGGUGUAGCGGUGAAAUGCGUAGAGAUCGGGAGGAACACCAGUGGCGAAGGCGGCUACCUGGACCAGCACUGACACUGAGGCACGAA
rnacentral:rRNA from 1 species